rnacentral:rRNA from 1 species
AGGCCAGACUCCUACGGGAGGCAGCAGUGAGGAAUAUUGGUCAAUGGCCGAGAGGCUGAACCAGCCAAGUCGCGUGAGGGAAGGCGGCCCUACGGGUUGUAAACUUCUUUUAUAUGGGAAUAAAAUGUUCCACGUGUGGGAUUUUGUAUGUACCAUAUGAAUAAGGAUCGGCUAACUCCGUGCCAGCAGCCGCGGUAAUACGGAGGAUCCGAGCGUUAUCCGGAUUUAUUGGGUUUAAAGGGAGCGUAGAUGGGUUGUUAAGUCAGUUGUGAAAGUUUGCGGCUCAACCGUAAAAUUGCAAUUGAUACUGGCAGUCUUGAGUACAGUUGAGGUAGGCGGAAUUCGUGGUGUAGCGGUGAAAUGCUUAGAUAUCACGAAGAACUCCGAUUGCGAAGGCAGCUUACUAAACUGCCACUGACAUUGAUGCUCGAAAGUGUGGGUAUCAAACAGGAUUAGAUACCCCAGUA